ACCCGCUGAACUUAAGCAUAUCAAUAAGCGGAGGAAAAGAAACUAACAAGGAUUCCCCUAGUAACUGCGAGUGAAGAGGGAAAAGCUCAAAUUUAAAAUCUGGCAGUCUUUGGCUGUCCGAGUUGUAAUUUAGAGAAGUGUUACCCGUGCUGGACCGUGUACAAGUCUCCUGGAAUGGAGCGUCAUAGAGGGUGAGAAUCCCGUCUUUGACACGGACUACCAGUGCAUUGUGGUGCGCUCUCAAAGAGUCGAGUUGUUUGGGUAUGCAGCUCUAAAUGGGUGGUAAAUUCCAUCUAAAGCUAAAUAUUGGCGAGAGACCGAUAGCGAACAAGUACCGUGAGGGAAAGAUGAAAAGAACUUUGGAAAGAGAGUUAAACAGUAUGUGAAAUUGCUGAAAGGGAAACGCUUGAAGUCAGUCGCGUUGGCCAGGGAUCAACCUUGCUUUAGUGGGGUGUACUUCCUGGUUGACGGGUCAGCAUCAGUUUCGACUGCUGGAAAAAGGCUUGGGGAAUGUGGCAUCUCCGGAUGUGUUAUAGCCCCUUGUUGUAUACAGUGGUUGGGACUGAGGAACUCAGCACGCCUUGCGGCCGGGAUUCGUCCACGUUCGUGCUUAGGAUGCUGGAAAAAUGGCUUUAAGCGACCCGUCUUGAAACACGG
rnacentral:rRNA from 1 species